UACGUAGGGGGCUAGCGUUGUCCGGAAUCAUUGGGCGUAAAGAGCGUGUAGGCGGCCCGGUAAGUCCGCUGUAAAAGUCAAAGGCUCAACCUUUGAAUGUCAGUGGAUACUGCCGGGCUAGAGUCCGGAAGAGGCGAGUGGAACUCCUGGUGUAGCGGUGGAAUGCGCAGAUAUCAGGAGGAACACCAGUGGCGAAGGCGCCACUCUGGGCCGUAACUGACGCUGAGGAGCGAAAGCGUGGGUAGCAAACAGG
rnacentral:rRNA from 1 species